rnacentral:lncRNA from 1 species
UAAUAGAUGCCUGCAUAAUCUGUUUUUUGUAUAAUAGAAGCUAAGACUGCACUUCUUAAUUUCAGAUUAUUCGUAAUCUAAAGUUGACAAUUGAGGAUGAGCUCUCAAGAGUGAAUAGUCUGAAGGAGAAAACAUCUCUAAGUUUCUUCAUGAAUACUAAUGAGAUUACAUCUUUGUUAAAAAAUAUGGGGAAGAUUGAAUGGGGAAAAACAACAAAAUGUUUUCCCAAAUAUAGUGAAGACGAUGGACAACACACUCUUAGGCCUGAUGACAAAGAAGAAAUACCACCAGGCUGUGAUACUCAUUUUUCUGUAGACAAUACCUUUCCAGCACUUACCAGAGAAAGGAAAAUAAAGGCUCUUGCAAAACUUGGUGUUCAUGAAGAAGUGAAAAAUACUCGAGUACAAGAGUUACUUACUAUGAUACAUCGUCAGAAUAUUCCUGUUCUACCCAAGACUCUGUCCAGCCCUGAUGUCAUAAUAGAAGAAAUAAUUGAAGAUGAUGAGGAAGGUAGGUUGCUUAACACCUGAUGCUUUCAAUAUUCAGUUGUCAGUCAUAAUGUCAUUUAUCCAUAGCAUGUUUGUAGUCAAACUCAGCGCUCAUACAGACUCUUUCAUGGCUCCUGCAUUUCACUUUCCCUUGCUUUGAACUUCUGUGGUUUCUUUUUUUCCUUCCCUUAGCUUGGCUUAGGGAGAACUUUCUUACAACUUUUUUCUAGUAGCUGUCAUCAUAAGUUUCUGUGUCUUCCUGGAAAAGUCUCCUUGACUAUC